CUUCUCUUGAGAGCGGCGGACGGGUGAGUAAUGCCUAGGAAUCUGCCUGGUAGUGGGGGAUAACGUUCGGAAACGGACGCUAAUACCGCAUACGUCCUACGGGAGAAAGCAGGGGACCUUCGGGCCUUGCGCUAUCAGAUGAGCCUAGGUCGGAUUAGCUAGUUGGUGAGGUAAUGGCUCACCAAGGCGACGAUCCGUAACUGGUCUGAGAGGAUGAUCAGUCACACUGGAACUGAGACACGGUCCAGACUCCUACGGGAGGCAGCAGUGGGGAAUAUUGGACAAUGGGCGAAAGCCUGAUCCAGCCAUGCCGCGUGUGUGAAGAAGGUCUUCGGAUUGUAAAGCACUUUAAGUUGGGAGGAAGGGUUGUAGAUUAAUACUCUGCAAUUUUGACGUUACCGACAGAAUAAGCACCGGCUAACUCUGUGCCAGCAGCCGCGGUAAUACAGAGGGUGCAAGCGUUAAUCGGAAUUACUGGGCGUAAAGCGCGCGUAGGUGGUUUGUUAAGUUGGAUGUGAAAUCCCCGGGCUCAACCUGGGAACUGCAUUCAAAACUGACUGACUAGAGUAUGGUAGAGGGUGGUGGAAUUUCCUGUGUAGCGGUGAAAUGCGUAGAUAUAGGAAGGAACAAA
rnacentral:rRNA from 1 species